GACGAACGCUGGCGGCGUGCUCAACACAUGCAAGUCGAACGGAAAGGCCCUGCUUUUGUGGGGUGCUCGAGCGGCGAACGGGUGAGUAACACGUGAGUAACCUGCCCUUGACUUUGGGAUAACUUCAGGAAACUGGGGCUAAUACCGGAUAGGAGCUCCUGCUGCAUGGUGGGGGUUGGAAAGUUUCGGCGGUUGGGGAUGGACUCGCGGCUUAUCAGCUUGUUGGUGGGGUAGUGGCUUACCAAGGCUUUGACGGGUAGCCGGCCUGAGAGGGUGACCGGCCACAUUGGGACUGAGAUACGGCCCAGACUCCUACGGGAGGCAGCAGUGGGGAAUAUUGCACAAUGGGCGGAAGCCUGAUGCAGCAACGCCGCGUGCGGGAUGACGGCCUUCGGGUUGUAAACCGCUUUCGCCUGUGACGAAGCGUGAGUGACGGUAAUGGGUAAAGAAGCACCGGCUAACUACGUG
rnacentral:rRNA from 1 species